AAUGAACGCUGGCGGCGUGCUUUACACAUGCAAGUCGAACGAUAAAGCCUCCUUCGGGGAUGAGUAAAGUGGCGCACGGGUGAGUAAUGCGUAGGUAACCUACCCUCAAUGGGGGAGAUAACUGCGGAACUGCGGGUUUAUACCGCAUGCCUUCCCGAUGACACAGGGCGAUCGGAUCAACUACCCUUAUUUGGUCUGUGGACGUAGGGGCUGCUGCCUAGUAGCGAAAAGGUCAAGCAACGCGUCAAUCAGGCACUGGUCUGUAAAGGGGAUCAGAAAGGCUGAGGCUGAUAUGCCGCUGAAACUCCGGCCAGAGUCCAUUCGUGGGGCAAUUUUGGGGAAUUGUGCACACUUGCUCCAAGGGUUAUGCCUGACCCCACAAUGACCGCCGGAUGGCUAAAGGGUCUUAUACCUGGAUCUAACCCCGAAGGAAGGUUUCCUGGACAAGGAACUUACCCCUGGUAUCGGAGGCACACAGGUUCCUCCCAUUCCUCCUCCUCUCGCUGCAGUUAAGCGGGCGGGGGGGUAACCCCCCUUCUCUUCUUUCUUAACCCCCAAUGGCGGCGCGUCUUGGUUUGAGUCUUUAGGGUGGAUCACAGGUUCCCUAACUCUCAACACCGGUUGUGGCGCCAUGCAAUAUAUAUGCCCCGAGUGCUUGUGGGCAGGGAAAAACGCUGUUUCGCCAUUGCACACUCGCCACAGAGUAAUGCUGAUCGUGUUAUGUAAAUAUCUUGACCGGACGCCGAGCCGUGUGCCCCGCCUUUAUUUAUUAUUCAUGUUAUAACGCGCAUAGUGAGCGGGCCGCGUGAGAUGUGUAUAGAUAUAUGCCUCGCUCUUUGUUCUCCUCACUGUACCACGCACACCAUCUGCUUCCAGUUGAUGGCGUGGUGUGUCGCCCUCCCGCGUCGCUUGGACCGCACACACCCACGUGUCACUUAUGAGCGCCACGUGCUCGCGAUGUCG
rnacentral:rRNA from 1 species